CCCUACGGGGCGCAGCAGGCGCGAAAACUUUACAAUGCGGGAAACCGUGAUAAGGGAACUCCGAGUGCCCGUAAAAUCGGGCUGUCCAUCUGUUUAAAUAACAGGUGAAGAAAGGGCCGGGCAAGACCGGUGCCAGCCGCCGCGGCAAUACCGGCGGCUCGAGUGGUGGCCACUAUUACUGGGCUUAAAGCGUUCGUAGCUGGUCUGUUAAGUCUCUGGGGAAAUCUACUGGCUUAACCAAUAGGCGUUUCAGGGAUACUGGCAGACCAGGGACCGGGAGAGGUGAGAGGUACUCCAGGGGUAGGAGUGAAAUCCUGUAAUCC
rnacentral:rRNA from 1 species